rnacentral:lncRNA from 1 species
CAAAAGACAAAAAAUGAUUUUUCAGCAUGUCUCAGCCUCACCCCUCCUCCCCUGCCACCAGGCUUCAAUCACAGGCUCCCAGGCCUCGAAAAACACUCAGGUAUGUGCAGUCUCCUUCAAGGUCGCCGAUAGGACAUCGAGGUCUUUUUUAUCCACAUACUUGAGGCAGAAGCAGUUCCAGCUACCUCUGAGCAGUGGGAAAGUCACUGGUCAUACUCCUACCUGGCAGGCUGACACUGUCAUCGGCUCCCCAUUGCACACAGCGAGCGUUUGUAAUGAACCUGAGUCCAGGGGGUGGUGGGUCUGUCUGGGCACCAAGUCAGGGGGCCGUUAGUUCCUGGAUUCCAGAAGUGACUUCCUUCUAUUGAGAAGGUGUGCACCCCCCCCCCCCCCACACACACACUGCCCCAGCAAGACCUCAGAGGGGAGGAUGACUGAGUAGUUCCUCACAUGGUUAAGAAGUCCUCCAUGAUUCCUUGGAAAACUGGGAAUGGAUCCACCAUUUGACCCAGCUAUCCCUCUCCUCGGUCUAUACCCAAAGGACUAAAAAACAGCAUACUACAGGGACACAGCCACAUCAAUGUUUAUAGCAGCACAAUUCAAUAUAGCUAAACUGUGGAGCCAACCUAGAUGCCCUUCAGUGGAUGAAUGGAAAAAAUAUGUGGCAUAUAUACACAAUGGAAUAUUACUCAGCAUUAAAAAAGAACAAAAUCAUGGCAUUUGCAGGUAAAUGGAUGGCACUGGAGAAGAUAAUGCUAAAUAAAGUUAGCCAAUACCCAAAAAACAAUCGCCAAAUGUUUUCUCU